GUUUGUUUUACCACCUUUAAUAAAUCAACCUAACCGAUUUAUACUUUAUGUUUAUUUUUUAUAGUAUUCUAAACUGUAUCAUUUAGGGAAACUUAAAGAUACGAAAUCAUGUCCGUGUCCGUAUACGAAUAUGAUGUGUACGACAAUCCUCAACGUAUUCGUACGAAGUACAAAAAAGACCUCCAUGUACCAGGAGCGCAGGACUCGAAUGUUAUUGCCGCGACUAUUCGUAGCGGUCGUCAUCCGAACGAUAUUGCCGCGACGAGUCUUAGCAGUUGGCGGCGGCCGAACAAUAUUCCCGCGACGAGUCGUCGGCGGUAGCCGUCGCCGCCGCAGCGUAC